rnacentral:misc_RNA from 1 species
GGAAGGAUCAUUAAUGAAAUGAAUGUCGAAAGGGGUUGUAGCUGGCCUUUCGGGGCAUGUGCACACCUUGAUCGCACAUCCACCUCUUCUCACACCUGUGCACUAUGUGUAGCUUGGGGAUGAUUACAAUAUUGGAAACAAUGUUGAAAGCCCUAGCUAUGAAUUUUUUAUACACCCACAUACAAAGUUAUAGAAUGCAUAAUAUUAUUGUGUGUAAUAGCACAAAUAAAUACAACUUUCAGCAACGGAUCUCUUGGCUCUCGCAUCGAUGAAGAACGCAGC